rnacentral:rRNA from 1 species
UUCCCGUACCCGUGUGUGGGCGCCCGUGACGAAUCAGCGGUACUAACCACCCAAAACCGGAUCGAUCACUCCCCUUCGGGGGUGUGGAGUUCUGGGGCUGCGUGGGAACUUCGCUGGUAGUAGUCAAGCGAAGGGGUGACGCAGGAAGGUAGCCGUACCAGUCAGUGGUAACACUGGGGCAAGCCGGUAGGGAGAGCGAUAGGCAAAUCCGUCGCUCACUAAUCCUGAGAGGUGACGCAUAGCCGGUUGAGGCGAAUUCGGUGAUCCUCUGCUGCCAAGAAAAGCCUCUAGCGAGCACACACACGGCCCGUACCCCAAACCGACACAGGUGGUCAGGUAGAGCAUACCAAGGCGUACGAGAUAACUAUGGUUAAGGAACUCGGCAAAAUGCCCCCGUAACUUCGGGAGAAGGGGGACCGGAAUAUCGUGAACACCCUUGCGGUGGGAGCGGGAUCCGGUCGCAGAAACCAGUGAGGAGCGACUGUUUACUAAAAACACAGGUCCGUGCGAAGUCGCAAGACGAUGUAUACGGACUGACGCCUGCCCGGUGCUGGAAGGUUAAGAGGACCCGUUAACCCGCAAGGGUGAAGCGGAGAAUUUAAGCCCCAGUAAACGGCGGUGGUAACUAUAACCAUCCUAAGGUAGCGAAAUUCCUUGUCGGGUAAGUUCCGACCUGCACGAAUGGCGUAACGACUUCUCAACUGUCUCAACCAUAGACUCGGCGAAAUUGCACUACGAGUAAAGAUGCUCGUUACGCGCGGCAGGACGAAAAGACCCCGGGACCUUCACUACAACUUGGUAUUGAUGUUCGGUACGGUUUGUGUAGGAUAGGUGGGAGACUGUGAAACCUCGACGCCAGUUGGGGCGGAGUCGUUGUUGAAAUACCACUCUGAUCGUAUUGGGCAUCUAACCUCGAACCCUGAAUCGGGUUUAGGGACAGUGCCUGGCGGGUAGUUUAACUGGGGCGGUUGCCUCCUAAAAUGUAACGGAGGCGCCCAAAGGUUCCCUCAACCUGGACGGCAAUCAGGUGGCGAGUGUAAAUGCACAAGGGAGCUUGACUGCGAGACUUACAAGUCAAGCAGGGACGAAAGUCGGGAUUAGUGAUCCGGCACCCCCGAGUGGAAGGGGUGUCGCUCAACGGAUAAAAGGUACCCCGGGGAUAACAGGCUGAUCUUCCCCAAGAGUCCAUAUCGACGGGAUGGUUUGGCACCUCGAUGUCGGCUCGUCGCAUCCUGGGGCUGGAGCAGGUCCCAAGGGUUGGGCUGUUCGCCCAUUAAAGCGGCACGCGAGCUGGGUUUAGAACGUCGUGAGACAGUUCGGUCUCUAUCCGCCGCGCGCGUCAGAAACUUGAGGAAACCUGUCCCUAGUACGAGAGGACCGGGACGGACGAACCUCUGGUGCACCAGUUGUCCCGCCAGGGGCACCGCUGGAUAGCCACGUUCGGUCAGGAUAACCGCUGAAAGCAUCUAAGCGGGAAACCUUCUCCAAGAUCAGGUUUCUCACCCACUUGGUGGGAUAAGGCCCCCCGCAGAACACGGGUUCAAUAGGUCAGACCUGGAAGCUCAGUAAUGGGUGUAGGGAACUGGUGCUAACCGGCCG